UCAAAUAAUAUUCCCACAAGCUGACACCUGUCCGGGUUAGUAAAACGAUGUGUUUUGUCGUCAGUCGAUUUCUUACGUUUUUGGGCUUGGAAUUGUGAUUGAAGAUAUCAAGCCCAUACUGCGUUAAUAUAUGCUACGCCGUGUUGUUAUUGAUCCACAUGGUUUUCUGAUUAAGGUUAGACUGUGUUGGUAUGUCUCUGCUAUUAACGGCGUAGUUUAGGGUUCCACCAUGAUCGUCGCUUUCUGCCAUUACAGCGACUGGUGUUCAGAAUCGGUGUGAUGAUUCCGUCUGUUGGUUUUGAUCAAGUCCUUUCACCUUCUUUCUACGAACCGAAACGAGAGGCGGUGCUUUCACUGUAUAAAUAGGCAUGCUUGGUGAGUAGGUGGGGCAUCAUCUCCAGACAAUAUUCACACCUAAGAAUUGUUACAUCGCUCUUGGUCCUCUUCUUUGCACUGUCGUGUGUCUUUCCGUACGGCUCGGCGGAGAUGGUACGACGACUGCAAGGAACAUGCUUUGCGAUGUAAUUGUUUCUCCUUUAUUUAGUUCAUAGUGAUUGAGACUAAUUUUUACGAAGAUUUGGUCAGAUCUGAUCUCAGAUUUAUCAUGGCAAUCAACAAUUCCAACUUAGCUCAACUUUUGAUGAACAGGUUUUAAGAAAUUUUAUUCAUUUUUUUUUGUUUGGAAGAAACAAUGUAUCCGUAGGUGCUUCAGCCAAACGCUAUCCCGCCGGCGGAGAUUUGAGAAGCUCCGUUUCGAUGGUAAAAAAAGAUUGACUGUUGCCGUUUCUCCAAAACCACGUCGUAUUGGUUUCAGUGAUCCUGCAGUCUAUGAACAGCUCCACAAUCCCUCUCGGUUUCUGCUAUUAGCCAUCAUCAAGGGGAUGUCCUAUUUGCAUCAGAGGCCUAGACUGAUAUCUUUGAUAUCGUAAUAUGGCUGAGAAAUACCAUAUUUUGUUGGUGAAAGGUAAUUCUAAGUGGUAGAUGGAAUCGGUAAUGUUCUUUUGAUAUAUUCAGCAGUGUGUAUAGAAAAGAAAGAUUACAGUACAGCUUGAGGGUUGUUGUAUUUUCUCUGCGUGAAUUUGCUUAGUAGGGAAGAAGAUAAAGUGGGGAAAGAGCUUGACCCAAUGUUAGUCUGACUUCCUAAAAUUUACCUGAUAAUAGAGCGAGAGAUUGGUGAAGAGAGAGACCAAGACGAAGUGAAGAACAUCGAGAGUGCAAGAGCAUUGCUUUAGCCUGUGUGGAUGUACCAUGUCUAUGAAACUGGAAGGUUUCACAUGGAGGAGUAAGAAUAUAUAGGAUGGGAAAAAGAUGGUUUGGAGUUGUGGUGUGUUGAUAUAAUAUAUUUGAGAUGAGACUAUUAGAUUUUGUAAUGUUAGGAUUCAUUGUCAAAUCAUGGGAAAUACAUUGACUUACCAGUUUU